rnacentral:rRNA from 1 species
UACGUAGGGGGCGAGCGUUGUCCGGAAUUAUUGGGCGUAAAGGGCGCGUAGGCGGCAGGCCAAGUCGGGAGUGAAAGCCCGGGGCUCAACCCCGGAAUGUCUUUCGAAACUGGCCAGCUGGAGUGCGGAAGAGGCAACUGGAAUUCCCAGUGUAGCGGUGAAAUGCGUAGAUAUUGGGAGGAACACCAGUGGCGAAGGCGGCUCACUGGACCGGAACUGACGCUGAGGCGCGAAAGCGUGGGGAGCAAACAGG